GUGGCGAACGGGUGAGUAACGCGUGAGGAACCUGCCUCAAAGAGGGGGACAACAGUUGGAAACGACUGCUAAUACCGCAUAAGCCCACAGGUCGGCAUCGACCAGAGGGAAAAGGAGCAAUCCGCUUUGAGAUGGCCUCGCGUCCGAUUAGCUAGUUGGUGAGGUAACGGCCCACCAAGGCAACGAUCGGUAGCCGGACUGAGAGGUUGAACGGCCACAUUGGGACUGAGACACGGCCCAGACUCCUACGGGAGGCAGCAGUGGGGAAUAUUGCACAAUGGGGGAAACCCUGAUGCAGCGACGCCGCGUGGAGGAAGAAGGUCUUCGGAUUGUAAACUCCUGUUGUUGAGGAAGAUAAUGACGGUACUCAACAAGGAAGUGACGGCUAACUACGUGCCAGCAGCCGCGGUAAAACGUAGGUCACAAGCGUUGUCCGGAAUUACUGGGUGUAAAGGGAGCGCAGGCGGGAAGACAAGUUGGAAGUGAAAUCUAUGGGCUCAACCCAUAAACUGCUUUCAAAACUGUUUUUCUUGAGUAGUGCAGAGGUAGGCGGAAUUCCCGGUGUAGCGGUGGAAUGCGUAGAUAUCGGGAGGAACACCAGUGGCGAAGGCUGCCUACUGGGCACCAACUGACGCUGA
rnacentral:rRNA from 1 species